AGAGUUUGAUCCUGGCUCAGGAUGAACGCUGGCUGUGUGCCUAAUACAUGCAAGUCGAGCGGAGAGCUUCGGCUCUUAGCGGCGAACGGGUGAGUAACACGUACCUAAUCUACCUUUAUGACUGGAACAACCUUUGGAAACAAGGGCUAAUGCCGGAUAUCUAAAUUAAUCACAAGAUUUUUUUAUGAAAGGGGCGUUUGCCUCGCAUAGAGAUGAGGGUGCGGGUCAUUAGCUAGUUGGUGGGGUAAUGGCCUACCAAGGCUACGAUGACUAGCGGGUCUGAGAAGAUGAACCGCCACACUGGGACUGAGAUACGGCCCAGACUCCUACGGGAGGCAGCAGUAGGGAAUAUUCCACAAUGGGCGAAAGCCUGAUGGAGCGACACAGCGUGCAGGAUGAAGGCCUUAGGGUUGUAAACUGCUGUUGCAAGGGAAGAAUGAUUAGGAGAGGAAAUGCUUCUAAGGUGACGGUACCUUGCCAGAAAGUGAUGGCUAACUAUGUGCCAGCAGCCGCGGUAAUACAUAGGUCGCAAGCGUUAUCCGGAUUUACUGGGUGUAAAGCGUCCGUAGGUGGUAUGUUAAGUCUGGAGUUAAAGCCCGGGGCUCAACCCCGGCCCGCUCUAGAUACUGACAAACUAGAGUUAUACAGAGGUUAGCGGAAUUCCAUGUGGAGCGGUGAAAUGCGUAGAUAUAUGGGAGAACACCAUUGGCGAAGGCGGCUAACUGGGUAUAUACUGACACUGAGGGACUAAAGCGUGGGGAGCAAAUAGGAUUAGAUACCCUAGUAGUCCACGCCCUAAACGAUGAUCAUUAGAUGGUAGAUACUUUACUGUCGCAGCUAACGCAUUAAAUGAUCCACCUGAGUAGUACGCUCGCAAGAGUGAAACUUAAAGGAAUUGACGGGGACUCGCACAAGCGGUGGAGCAUGUGGUUUAAUUUGAAGAUACGCGGAGAACCUUACCCACUCUUGACAUCUUCUGCAAAGGUGUGGAGACACAGUGGAGGUUAACAGGAAUGACAGAUGGUGCAUGGUUGUCGUCAGCUCGUGUCGUGAGAUGUUUGGUUAAGUCCAGCAACGAGCGCAACCCCUGUCCUUAGUUACUAACGGUUCGGCCCGAGCACUCUAGGGAUACUGCCUGGGUAACCAGGAGGAAGGUGGGGAUGACGUCAAAUCAUCAUGCCUCUUACGAGUGGGGCGACACACGUGCUACAAUGGCGGUUACAAUGGGUUGCCAAGCGGCGACGCGGAGCUAAUCCCCAAAAACUGUCUCAGUUCGGAUUGGAGGCUGCAACUCGCCUCCAUGAAGUCGGAAUCGCUAGUAAUCGCAGGUCAGCCAUACUGCGGUGAAUACGUUCCCGAGUCUUGUACACACCGCCCGUCACACCAUGGGAGCCGGUAAUACCCGAAGUCGGUCUGCUAACCCGUAGGGAGGCAACUGCCUAAGGUAGGACUGGUGACUGGGGUGAAGUCGUAACAAGGUA
rnacentral:rRNA from 1 species